GCAUUAAUGGGGUAGUGGUAACCUGGGUCGUUGCCAUUCUCCGUGAAUCGUUGAUAGCUUCGACCCGCCGGGGGUUCGAUUCCCUCUUAAUGCA